rnacentral:tRNA from 1 species
GCUUUAAUAGUUUAAAUAAAAUAUUAUAUUGUGGAUAUAAAGAUAUAUAAAUGUAAUUUAAGGCA